rnacentral:snRNA from 1 species
AGCUUUGCGCAGUGGCAGUAUUGUAGUCAAUGAGGUUUAUCCAAGGCACGAUUAUUGCUAAUUGAAAUCACUCCCCAG